rnacentral:lncRNA from 1 species
ACAGUUCUGCCAACUGAAGCAGGGCAGGUACUAGAGAAGUAGACUCAAGUUUUAAAUAAAACGGAAAGAUUAUUCCAGUAAGCAAAGCAUUAUGUGAUUUCCAUAGGUUAGGGCAACAGGCAACAAGUGAUAGUCCAGGGACAAGCAAAUGAUUAGAAUGGGGCAGAAGGGCAAAGCAAAUACAUUUCUGCAUGCAAAAUACAGUUCCCAAACCAGGAGGCGGGAGAUGGCAUAGGAGGCAGGAGCAGAUGUCUGGAAGAAGAGAGCGAAUGGGGGAUGACUGGGGUUCCAUCCACCUAAGAGAAGGCUCGUGAAGAGAAGACUUGGUCUCCCCAGGACUUAGAUGAUGACGUCAGGAACUGAGGAGGAGACUGAAGAACUCACAAGCUCAGUGAUGAGAAUGGAGACCAAGGGAUCUGAAGUACAGACAACAGCCAUCAAACAGUGUGAGGCCCUGAAGUACACCAUCGUCUCAUUAACAUGACAUUUAUCAGCUGGGCUAAGUGGCCAUGAAUAUGAAUGCAUCAGAGAGACUGACUGAGGAAGUUUCUGCUGUGCUGGUUGCAUUCUGCAUUGUGCACAAAAAAUAAUACGGCUUAUGAAAAAAGAAACAAAAGCAAUAAUAAUGAAAAUCUUUACACAAUUAAAUAUCCACGGAAAUCUGUGUCCAGCAUCUUGGUCCAUUCACCCUGCUUGGAGAUGCAGGUCCUUGAAUGUAUUUGCUUCCGAUGGAAUCUUGUUUGAUUAAAAGGAAAUAUGAAUCUCAAGAUGCAGCUUUUUUUCAUUUCUCUCUCAAUUUCUCUCUCUCGCUUUCUCUCUGUUUCUCUCAACAUGAGGGAAAUAUCUUCACAGCUUCUUCAUCUGCACUCACAGUAGCUUCACCACAUAACUUUGGGGAAAGCCUCGCGCUUCUGGAAACCACUAAACCAUCCACUACCUCUGCAUAUGGCUAAAAUUUUCUCUUUAACUGUGAAUGCUUGUUUCUGUCUGCUUCAAACAUGUUUACACACUAGGAAAAAUCACUCAGGAACCAACUUUGCUUGUCCAUUUUAUAUUGACAUCAUUUCCUUAUUUGCCGAUCAUCUGCAACCUAAUUUGCGUUACAAAAACACAUAUUCAAAUCACUUGAACUGAUCUAAUAGGUUAUUCAUCUCACCAUGCUACACCAUAAUGCAUUAUAAGUCCACAGACCUUUUUGUAGACUUCAUACAAGUUUCUUAAAUCUCCCCAUUUGUAGAUUUGUAGAUUUAGAAAUGUUUAGCACCUGCCUAAUAGGAUUGCUAUGAGAAGCGAGUGAGAACAUCUGAGUAUAGUAUUUCGCAUAGUAAAAUAUUUAUUAUCAUUACCGUUAACUUCUGUAGACAAAAGAUGGAUUUCUAGGUAAACCAAA